ACACAGAACUCUCAGCCCUAAAAAGAUAUCUACAUAGAACUCUCUCUCCUUUCCCUCUCAGUAAAAAAAAAGAACUCUCCUCCCAUACGAUCCCCACCAGGCACCUCAUACACACCUGCCAUUUCUUCCAAUUUGCCGCCGGCGAAGGACGACGUCGAUGUGCCCCAUUAGGAAACUAAUCCUCAUGCUAUCCCAGAUCCGCAUGUCGCUUCUUUUCUCCUGAUUUUUCUUCCUUGGUGGUGUCACAUGUGGCUGGGUGAGCGUGUGGAUCUCGGCGAACUCGUCGACUCUGGCAACGCGGUCACGGAGAUGUCCAGUGAGAACGCGGGUUGUGCUACUCAAAGUUGUCGUAGCCGGAGUUUCUGGAUGUUGGAGCUGCGAAGGCAUUGAGGGAGUUCGCGGAUGAAGAAAUAUCUGCAAGACGUGAGUAUCUUCUGCGAGUCGAUGUUAGUUGUUGCCCUCCUGCUGUCCAGACUUCUACCAAAUCACGAAGGGCCACUUCAAGUCGCUUGGUGACAUAAUGAUUUCAGGAGCAUCACCUGCAAGCCUACCUUCAGUUUUAGCUCGUGGAUUGGAAUUCCUGGGAAGGUCAUGUUGUUGAGGAACUCUGCUGGACACAUAUUCUCCAUUGUGUUGUAAUUCAUUGUUGCCUUGCAUACAGUGUCCAAGUAUAGGAGCAAAGCUGCAAUGCCAGAUGAUACUACCGAAAUCACUUUCUUUCCUUCUGAUCGUAGCUUCGUUGUAAUUGCUUUCCAUAGGGUGUCCAUAGUAGAUUCUCCCAACAGCGAAGCCCCUUUUCCGCUCCUCAGGUUUUGGUUUCGCUUUUCCAUACAAAUUUUGAUGGUAAUUCUGCAUAGGCCAAAAGUGCUUUGGCGUCCCUUCUUCCGAUGUCGAUUGGAGUAGCUGGGUGUGGCUUCGUCAUGCGUUGAGCGUGCUUUGGCGUGACUUCAUCGGACGUCAAGUGAAGCGGCUGGAGGUGGCUGAGGUGGCUUUUCGUGUCGACGUCGAGUUGCCUAGUCGCGUGUGACGUCUUUGCUGACUUCUAAUUCUUUGGGUGUGUGCUUCUGCGGCCGGUUGUACUCAUUUAUAUAUGGGUGGAGGUGUGUGGGUUCAGGUGGUUGUGACCAUGGAGAAAGCAGAUCGGUCUUUUUUCGUGUCAUGGUUCCUGUUUUGGAAGUUUCUCAUGUGAGGUCUGGUUAGGUCCAAUCGUUGUCCUUAUUUGUUUAGAUUUCCUAUUAUUUUUUAUUCCUUGACCCAUUGAUUGAAAUAUUUUUUUUCUGUUUCUGCGGGCUAGUUGACGUUCGGAUGGAACCUAUGUGUGUUGUUUGUACGUGGCAUGUUUUACUACUUGUACAUGUACACAUAUUUUUACGUAACGUUUCCAUAUUUUAA